rnacentral:rRNA from 1 species
CUAAUAGGAUUCCCUUAGUAAUGGCGAAUGAAGAUGGAGUAGCUCAGCGUGGAAAUUGGGGCCUCUGCCUUGAGUUGUAGUCUGAAGGUGCGCUGCCAACGGAGGCGCAGAUGUAAACCUCUUGGAAGAGAGCAUCAACGAUGGUGAGAGUCCUGCUUGUCAUCUGCAGUCCCCCGUGCACGGCGCGCCUCCGGAGAGUCACGUUCCUCGGAACUGGAGCGCAAAGAGGGUGGUAACUUUCAUCUCAAGCUAAAUACGGGUUCAAGACCGAUAGCGAACAAGUACCAUGAGGGAAAGGUGAAAAGGACUUUGAAAAGAGAGUUACAAGUGCCUGAAAUUGCUGAAAGGAAAGCGAAGGGAACUAGUGUUGCUUGGUGAAAUCUUCCGCGCGCUAAUGCAAUGGCUCGCUGCGUCGACGCAAGUGUGACAGCGAGUUCAGGUCGGGGCGCACGCGGUGUUUCUUGCCCUGCGCGUCAACGCUAGCUCGCCAAUGAGGAGAGCUCCAGGGGCAUGGCUGUUUGCUUCCGGGCGAGCAAAAGUGCCUGGUAGAACUCAUUUGCGCGUUGACUCAUGGCUGUCUGGCUGCAGCGCCCCAUGCCUGCUAUAGGUGUGGCUCCUGCAACUAUGGCGUCCCUGACACGCAGACGAGGACCAAGCGGUUCUAUUCGACCCGUCUUGAAACACGGACCAAGGAGUCUAACGCAUCUGCGAGCUCACGGGCGGGUAAACCUGCUUGCGGAAUGAAAGCGACUGCUGGGACUCACGCACCAGCGCCCGACCAAUCGAUUGAGAGAGGUUUGAGUUUGAGCACGUGUGUUAGGACCCGAAAGAUGGUGAACUAUGCCUGAGGAGGGCAAACUCAGGGGAAACUCUGAUGGAGGCUCGUAGCGAUACUGACGUGCAAAUCGUUCGUCGUACUGGGUAUA